rnacentral:rRNA from 1 species
UACGGAGGGGGCUAGCGUUGUUCGGAAUUACUGGGCGUAAAGCGCGCGUAGGCGGCUUUGUAAGUUAGAGGUGAAAGCCCGGAGCUCAACUCCGGAAUUGCCUUUAAGACUGCAUCGCUAGAAUCGUGGAGAGGUGAGUGGAAUUCCGAGUGUAGAGGUGAAAUUCGUAGAUAUUCGGAAGAACACCAGUGGCGAAGGCGACUCACUGGACAUGUAUUGACGCUGAGGUGCGAAAGCGUGGGGAGCAAACAGG